GAUGAACGCUGGCGGCGUGCCUAAUACAUGCAAGUCGAGCGAAUGGAUUAAGAGCUUGCUCUUAUGAAGUUAGCGGCGGACGGGUGUGUAACACGUGGGUAACCUGCCCAUAAGACUGGGAUAACUCCGGGAAACCGGGGCUAAUACCGGAUAACAUUUUGAACCGCAUGGUUCGAAAUUGAAAGGCGGCUUCGGCUGUCACUUAUGGAUGGACCCGCGUCGCAUUAGCUAGUUGGUGAGGUAACGGCGCACCAAGGCAACGAUGCGUAGCCGACCUGGGAGGGUGAUCGGCCACACUGGGACUGAGACACGGCCCAGACUCCUACGGGAGGCAGCAGUAGGGAAUCUUCCGCAAUGGACGAAAGUCUGACGGAGCAACGCCGCGUGAGUGAUGAAGGCUUUCGGGUCGUAAAACUCUGUUGUUAGGGAAGAACAAGUGCUAGUUGAAUAAGCUGGCACCUUGACGGUACCUAACCAGAAAGCCACGGCUAACUACGUGCCAGCCGCCGCAGUAA
rnacentral:rRNA from 1 species